CCCCCCUCCCCCCAUAAAAGGUAGAAAGUGAAAGGCUGAAAUGGAACACUUAAAAAUGAUCCCACUGGGCCCUGCCUGUUAUUCACCAGCAAGGAAUGUGGUCGUGUUUAUAAGGCCGAGGUUCGUCUGAAGGAAUUUUCAUAAACCACCAAUUGCAUUACAUCAAGGCCUCAUCUUAAAUCCCAUGGUGAUUUUCCUAAACACAACUAGCCUGCUGGCUUCAGACAUAUUAUCUCUUCUUGUUGUUGCAGAAAAUUCUCUGGAUGUUUAUAUUCCUGCCGGACCACCCUAAAACGGCCCGUUGGCUAACGGGGACUAGUAAGGGGUGGGGGGGGGAGGUGACAUAAACGACAAAGAAGAAGACCGGGGGCGGGGGGGGGGACCGUGCCCGCCCUCAGACCUCUGACAUGAGGCACUGACGGCCUGUGUCUGCGUAUUUUUUUGUGGCUGGUGCGUGGCGGGUGGACCAGACGUGGGCCUGGCGACGACGGGGAACGGAGAGGAGCAGGUGAGGGAGCCGGAGAGUCCUAUUUCCGUCUCCCAGACUCCACGUGACCACAACGUCCGUCCUGGAUUCUCUGAACGUGAGUAAGGAGCAGCAGUCAACCAGACGCAGGGGAAGGAGCUGUCAAAACUAAGUUGGGGCUCUUGAACGUCGUAGCUGAACUCAGGAGGUCACGUUACGAGCUCUCAGCUCAACUCAAGCCCCAUGUCCCUUUGGUCAUGGCUGGAAAGCCCCGUGGAAGACAACACAGAAAGGGAAUGAGGUGUCGAUCGUCCUUACAGGGACAGUUUCUGCAGGACCUCGUCUUCCUGGGAGGGCUCUUCUCAUCCUGCACCUGCUCCCGCGUGACGUCCACCAGCAGCGCUCUCCCUCACCCUCCGUCCCCCGCCCGGUCUCCCUUCUGAGCUCUAGGUGCAAACAGCCAGCUGCCCCCAGGGCAUCUCCGUGGGGGGCUCCACGGCACCCUGCAUGCCCACACCCCAAGUAACUUUUCACCUCCCUCUGCCUGCUAACCUCCAGCUUGCUCCCCUCCCCGAGUAUAUUCCAGGAGGGCUGGGACCAUCAUCCGCCCUCCCCUGAGCCCAGUAGCGCCCCCUGCUCUGUGAAAUGAGCCCCCCCCCCCCCACCAUGACCCCAAGCAUCCCCACCAGGCUGAGCCAGGGGUCGGAGCUGCCGGCGAGGAGGGAGCGAGCAGUCAGUACCUGAGCAAUGGCUCGCUCGGGAGAAACACUUAACACUCAGCCAACAGAGCACGCUCUUUCUUAACACAGUGGAGAGAAAACAGAAGGAAGGAUGUGGGGGGGAGGCGCGCAGCUCCACGGGGGAAGCUGAGUCAGGGUCAAGGAUGACGCUGGCCCUGACGGUGCUAAUUAAACCGUAAGCGUUUCAUGGUCUCCAGGACGCCGUGGGAAAAGGAGGAUAUGAAACAAGGAGUCCAAGCCGAGGAUUGUUGGGAAAUAGGUGGGCCGGUGAGUUCCUCCUGAGUUUAGAGGAAGGGGGCCCCAUGCGGGCAGGGGGAGCCGGGGAAGGCCCCUCUUGAGCCUGGAGCUCCAGUGGGUUCUGCCCAGCUCGCGGGGUGAGUGGGGUCGCAGGGCGAGAGCGCCUCUCAUCCGGGAAGGGCCCGCAGCCCUACGUGGCCUCACGCCGGGCUCACACUCUGCUGCGCUCACCUGGGUGGUCACGAACACAUCCAGGUUCUGCAUUCCGGGCGGGAACCCGACCGAAGUCAAGUGCCCUGUUUUCUCAGCCCGUCGCAUCAGCAGGUGCCUGAAGUCAGCGCAUCCCCGAUUCCCUAGUGGCCUAGUUCAGGCGGGCGGGCCAGGCUUCCCCGCCCUGACGUUGGUCUUCCUCCCCUUGUAACCCAGGAGUGCUGGCUCUUGGGGUGGUGCUCGCGGCCAGCGUGAACGUGCUAAGUCUGUCAAACCGUCACCUGCACGUUCUGGCGUCCGCCGAUGACGAUCCGAAUCCAUCGUUACUCUGAUCGUUGCCAGAAGUCGACGUUCUGGGUAAUUCAUUCCUUCGGUCCAAAGGGAGAGACAUUUUCCAAAGUAACCGGCUUGUAUUCCUUAAACAUAUUGAUCUCGUGACAACCUGCGGGGCUGUUCCGGAUUAAAGGGGCCCGAAGAGAACCAGCAACUGGAUGCAGUGUGUGAUCCUGGACCAAGAUUCCUUUGUCCUUUCCUCUAAAGGACAUUGCUGGGACAACUGGUGACAUUUGAAGAAGGCCUGGAUAUUCUAUGAAAUUAGUACGUCUGUGUCAAGUUUCUGGUUUUGUCAUUGCGUGUGUGUGUACUUGUGUAAAAGAAUGCCUCCAGGCAGGACACACGGGAACAUUUCAGAAUAGAGGGGACGGUAGCUACACCUCGGUCUCAAAUGGCCCAGGAGAAAUGCUCUGCAUCUACAGCAGAUAGUAAGGCAGCCUUCUGAAUCAGUGCUCUAUUUUGAGCACAAAGUCAAGAUUUUUGUGGCCGCAGCCAAAGAUGUUCACGUGGGGAGCUGCUGAGCUGGCUUGUUGAUUCAGGCCCUGACGAUUCCUCAGGUCUUUCUGGAAAUAACAGGGUCAUUGACAUGUAACGCGGUUAUAAAACCUGUGACGAGGCGCCCGUCUAGUGACAGCAGGGCCGAGCCAGCCGAUACCUCCGCGACCGAGUCCCCGUAACGUGAGUGCCUCGCGCCAUCCCGUGUAACCCCCAGGACAAAUCUGCAAAAUAAGCUGUGCCAUCCUGAGUUUUCACAUGAGAAAAUAGAAGCUCAGAGAAGAUGAAUAUCCUUUGCCCAAAGAUCCAUGGUCGUAUGUUCCAUUAAGUCAUCUGGAUGAUUUCUGGGGAGGCACGGGACUCCAACGUCAUGCACCCCACUUCUGCUGGCCGACACUUGGGGACCGCCGGGUCCUGACCUCAGCACACUGGAUGGUGGAGUGGGUGACUGUGUGCGUUCGUUUCCUCCAGCGAACACAGCAUCCGGGAGCGAGAGCGUUCACUUUGUCAAAGGCAGAUCAUCAGAGCCACAGAAAGAGGUUCGGUGGCAGAGGGCAUAAGGCUACUGAUGACCUAAGACAGAGGCAACACCGAAGAGGAAGAGGAGGAGGAGGAAGAAGAUUGUAGGGCUUGUGAGUCAUGCCAACUGAACACAAGUUGUAUCCAAAGGUGGACACGUUUGUGGUAUUAGCGUUUGCAGAAGGACAAAAGCAUAUCCAUAUAAUAUCUCGGUGUGAGCCACCUCCUCCACGGUCAUCACCUUGACCGCAUUCCCCCCAGACCGCCAUAUCCUGAAACCACGAUGCGGGGGGUCACCUCCCUGCCUGCCCUGUCAGGCUGCCUAGCUUGAGCACGAUGCUGUCCAUGGAACAUCCUGCAAUGACAAGGCGUCCUAGCCACACACAUCCGGUACCUGUGGGCGCGAAUGAGCGGGCAAAGUAUGCUCCUGGUGAAGAAACAAGAAUGGCUCCUGGAACGCUUUGGGGCUGAGUGCUUCGCAGGAGGUGACUCAUGGAAGCACGCUUACUGGGCCCAUUUUCAGUCGACAAAACCAAGGCCCAGAGCAUCACGGUUGUGGCUGAACUCGAACUCAGUGGUACGGUCUCAUUCCAGAGGAUGUGACCUGCCUUUAGAAGGAGAGUCCCGCUUGUCACUCAUUCAGCCUGGGGUCUGUCCUUGUGAGCUCUUCAUGGAGCGUGAUGGAGGUGGCUGGUCAGGGGGACCACUGUCCGCAGCCCCACAGCUCCAGGAAAAGUGGCUGAUGAGCCACACAGCUGACACACAGAGAAGGAGACAUUUUUAUUUAAAGAUACUUUCAGGGUCUUUCAAAGGCCCCUCACUGUUUGCUUCCAGGCUGGAGACUCUGAAGGGUGAGUCAUUCUAGCUGUUCUGGGGUUUUCACUUCAAGGUCAGAGGCUGCAGGAGUCUCUCGUUUAGAUGUGCAUCAUGAGUUUUAAGUGCCCAGGCUGGGGAAUUAAUUUCGGUCACCAAUGUCACCCCAGAAUAUUGUGCUUCCAGUGACUGCCACCCAGGCGUCCCUCCUGCGCUCAGCGGAGCCAUGCGGGUGGCCGGGGCUCCACCUGCCAAGCGGGAAUGAGAAAGAGAGCAAGAAGCUGACUCCUUACAAAUGAGCGAAGCAGGUGGGGGGCAGGGGGCAGAAAGAAGAGAAGAACGAACCAAGAAACAGACUCUUCACUGCAGAGAACAAACUGAGGUGGGGGGGGGGGAGGGGAAAUGCAUGAUGGGGAUUAAGGAGAGCGUGUGAGAUGAGCACAGGGCCACAUAGGAAAGUGUUCCAUCAGGGGCGCCUGGGUGGCUCAGUCCGUUGAGUGUCUGACCUCGGCUCAGCUCAUGAUCUCGAGGUCUGUGAGUUCGAGCCCCGCAUGGACCUCUGUGCUGACAGCUCAGAGCCUGGAGCCCGCUUCCGAUUCUGUGUCUCUGUCUCUCUCCACCCCUCCCCUGUUGACGCUCUGUCUCUUAAUAACAAAUAAGUGUUAAAAAAAGAAAAGAAAAGAAAAGAAAGUGUUCCAUCACUGUCAGUACACCAGAAACUAAUAUCACAAUGUAGGUUACCUGUACUGACGUUGCAAUGAGAUAAAAAUAAAGAAAACGUAAAUAAAAAUGCAAAAAUAAUAAACAGACAAAAAAGAAGCAAACUCCUGUCUUCACUGCAACGACUGUGUUCACCGUGCCCCGUCCCUGCUGCUUCCUGCACCUGCCGUGUCCGCCCGUGAUGGAGGAACGUGGGCCCUCCCCCCCAGCUUCCAGGCUUUCGGAUUUCGAGUAGGGUGAGGACUUUGGUGCCCAGACUCCGUCUUCAUCCUGUCGGGGCUGGGCCCAGCCCUGGAUACGACAGCAGAUCCCGGUAGAGCGGGUCGGGGAAACAGGACAGGAGGUGAUGAGGAGAGACGCGGAGGCAUCAGCUCCCUACCUGGUGUGCCCGAAGCCCCUGGAGGGAGGGUCCCCUGGAGCCUCUCGUGGCCUUUGCAGAGCCUUAAACCCUGGAAAGGACCCAGCAGGGACAACUCCCAGGGGACUCUGGGAGAAGAGGGACAGGAACAGGGCCCUGGAUGUAGGACAACAGGUCUCCUAGCCAGGGAGGCGGUGCCAGCCCACACCCCACGGCCCUUCUGCAAACUGGCAGUCAGUGGUCUCCCUGCACAUCUGUCCACAUGUGCCCCUUUGGGGGUGACCGUGAAGCCUCUGGGCCCUGUAACCUGCACACCGUGCACAUCCACACUAAUCAGCUCCUUAGAAGAAUUCAAUCACAAAGUGAUCUUUGUGCACAAUAAAAUCGUCAUAAUCAGCGUCAUCGAGGCUUGGGUUCUUCGAGUUAAGCUCCCACCCCCCUCCAAGGCCAACGGC